rnacentral:lncRNA from 1 species
UCGCCGCCGCCAGGCCUAGCCCACCGUCGUCGCCGGAGAGGUAGCUUCCUCACCCCUUCCUUCCUGCCUCGUUCCCAUCCGCCCUCCUCACCCUUCCUUCCUGCCUUAGGCUCACAGGGAGUAGCCGUUGUUACUUGACCAGAAACUGCUCCUCUGUUCCCUUAUGAUUAUCAUGUAUAGGUGGUCAAAAUGAUUACAGUAGAUGUAUAACUUAUGAUUGUUGUACCUAUUAUGCUCAUAUUUUAGUUUGUUCAGUGCUUGUCAUGCUGGAAAACAAUCGGUUGUGCUAAGUAUCAAUUUGUUUGUAUUGUCAUAGAUGGAUGAAUUGGCAAGAAAACGAAGGCAAUUAAUUGUGAGAGGAGCCGGUCUAGUGGCUGGAAUGUAUGCAUACAAGAUGAUCAUGUUUAGAAGAGCUAGGCAACAAACAGCGAGGAUGGUCUAGUGGCUGGAAUGUAUGCAUACAAGAUGAUCAUGUUUAGAAGAGCUAGGCAACAAACAGCGAGGAUAGCCGUGGGCAGCAUGGCCGAUCGUGCCACAUCUAGAAAGUCCAAUUUGAGAUAUAUUUAUCACUCUAGUGACAUAAAUUGUUCAAAUCAAUUAAGAAUGAGGAAAGCUCCUUUUUCCGUUUGUGUGCUAUAUUUAGAGAGAGAAAUCUGUUGUUGGCAUGGUAACAAUUUAUUGCUCGAAUUGUUCCAUGAAUUGUCGAAAUGUUGUUUCAAUAUUUGUCUUGGCGGCAAAAAAAUCAUUCAUGCAGCAUACCUCAUAUACAGGCUACCAAACAC